rnacentral:rRNA from 1 species
GCAUAUCAAUAAGCGGAGGAAAAAGAAACCAACAGGGAUUGCCCUAGUAACGGCGAGUGAAGCGGCAACAGCUCAAAUUUGAAAUCUGGCCCUCCUUGGGGGUCCGAGUUGUAAUUUGCAGAGGGUGCUUUGGCGUCGGCAGCGGUCUAAGUUCCUUGGAACAGGACAUCACAGAGGGUGAGAAUCCCGUACGUGGUCGCCUGCCUUCGCCGUGUAAAGCCCCUUCGACGAGUCGAGUUGUUUGGGAAUGCAGCUCUAAAUGGGAGGUAAAUUUCUUCUAAAGCUAAAUACUGGCCAGAGACCGAUAGCGCACAAGUAGAGUGAUCGAAAGAUGAAAAGCACUUUGGAAAGAGAGUCAAACAGCACGUGAAAUUGUUGAAAGGGAAGCGCUUGCAGCCAGACUUGCCCGCAGUUGCUCACCCGGGUCCGCCCGGGGCACUCUUCUGCGGGCAGGCCAGCAUCAGUUUGGGCGACCGGAUAAAGGCCUCUGUCAUGUAUCUUCCUUCGGGAUGACCUUAUAGGGGAGGCGUAAUGCGGCCAGCCCGGACUGAGGUCCGCGCAUCUGCUAGGAUGCUGGCGUAAUGGCUGUAAGCGGCCCGUCUUGAAACACGGACCAAGGAGUCUAACAUCUAUGCGAGUGUUUGGGUGUCAAGCCCGGGCGCGUAAUGAAAGUGAACGGAGGUGGGAACCCUCUCCGGGGGGUGCACCAUCGACCGAUCCUGAUGUCUUCGGAUGGAUUUGAGUAAGAGCAUAGCUGUUGGGACCCGAAAGAUGGUGAACUAUGCUUGAAUAGGGUGAAGCCAGAGGAAACUCUGGUGGAGGCUCGCAGCGGUUUCUGACGUGCAAAUCGAUUCGUCAAAUUUGGGGCAUAGGGGGCGAAAGACUAAUCGAACUAUCUAGUAGCUGGGUUCCUGCC